CACUGACAAAAUUUCCCUUCUCGCUAUAGAGCAGAUUAAUUAAUAUUUAACUUAUAAAGUAAAAUCUCCUUUGGCAACUGUUAGAAUGAUAUACAUUGUUGGACCCUUCAUCUAAAAGUUUAAACUGUUAGAUGAGUUGGUUACUUAACAUGGUAUCAGAGCUCUGGAGUGUGCAAGGUCUUGGGUUCAAAUCUUCCCAGCUACACAAUUCAUUUGAUGAGGAGCCUUGGUCCGGAAGGUAUUCUAACAUAUCGAAGAACACUAAUUUAAAGCAAAUGACAGGUAAUGAGAAUACAAGAAAACACAAUAGAGAAAUAUGGAGAACAUCCACAGGAAAUGAGUCAAGUUCAACAGCUUGUCUAUCAGUAAGCAAAGGUAAAGUAUCGUCUGUUAACAAUCCCUUCUUGUAAUUUUGGAGGCGAAGGCUUACCAACAUGCUUCUAGUUUUCUUAUAGUGCUCAUCCUCAGCUUGGGGCUGGGAAUUCUUACACAGUAGCUGCAUCAACGCACGGAAACUAAUUUAAGAACCAGAAGUAUUCACAAGAACAUAGUUACAGAUUCAGCUUAACAAUUCCGACUACUUGAAGAAUGACAUAAAGCAGAUGAAUGGUGCACAGAUGUAUUCAUCUAAUUAUAUGUUCCAUCAGGUGUCAUAGAAGGUAACUCCAAAAUCUAGUCUUUAUAAUUUGGACACAUGUAAUAGAUAACUAUUUUUCUUUAUGCAUGGUUCUUUUCUAAACUUGGAUUCUGUUAGUAGGAAUCUAAGUUCUUCAAAGUCAGGCACCAAAACCCAAAUUAGUGCGAUAGAAAUCAU
rnacentral:lncRNA from 1 species